CAAGCGAGCGGCUCACCAUGCGCGUCCUCCGAGAUGGUCCUUCUCCCCCCGCAGCGGUGCCCUCACAUCCAGCCUGUGCACGCGUCUGUCUGCUGUCCUGCUGUUUUAAAAAAAAAAAAAAAAAAAAAAAAAAAGAAGAAGAAGAAGAACAAGGAGGAGGAGCAGGAGGAAGAAGAGGAGGAGGAAGAAGAGGAGUGGGGUUCCCAGGACAAAAUAAGAGGGACUCGCUGGAAGGAGAAGAAGUUUACGCACAAUGAAUGCCAUAUUGGACGUACGAAGUGGGUUUUCCUCCUUCUUGCCGGUUUCCAGCACUUCCUUGGAGGGGCCGCUUCUUCCCAGGGCUUCCUGGAGCUCCACGAUGGAUAGAGUUCCGCUGCAGAGUGAGCGACACCCAGAGCCAGCUUGCGACACAUACAUAAGACAGUGGCACAAAGUCUGUCACAACUUCAUCCCGGAAGCAAUGUGCACCCCCCCCGCCGGGAACGUUUGCCAUGCAGGCCUGAAGCGACACGUUUCAAUGUGACGCAUGUGGAGAUGAAUCCGGGAAGCAUCGCAGGAGAAAGGACUCGGCUGAAUAAGAAACAGAAGCGAGGGAUGAAUUAGGACAUCUGAAUGGUUUC